rnacentral:rRNA from 1 species
GACGAACGCUGGCGGCAAGCUUAACACAUGCAAGUCGAACGCCGUAGCAAUACGGAGUGGCAGACGGGUGAGUAACACGUGGGAACGUGCCUUUCGGUUCGGAACAACUGAGGGAAACUUCAGCUAAAACCGGAUACGCCCUUCGGGGGAAAGUUUACGCCGAAAGAUCGGCCCGCGUCAGAUUAGGUAGUUGGCGGGGUAAUGGCCCACCAAGCCGAUGAUCUGUAGCUGUUCUGAGAGGAAGAUCAGCCACACUGGGACUGAGACACGGCCCAGACUCCUACGGGAGGCAGCAGUGGGUAAUAUUGGACAAUGGGCGCAAGCCUGAUCCAGCUAUGCCGCGUGGAUGAAGAAGGCCUUCGGGUUGUAAAGUCCUUUCGGCGGGGAUGAUAAUGGCGGUACCCGCAGAAGAAGCCCCGGCUAAUUUCGUGCCAGCAGCCGCCGCAGUAA